rnacentral:rRNA from 1 species
GACGAACGCUGGCGGCGUGCCUAAUACAUGCAAGUCGAACGCACUCUCGUUUAGAUUGAAGGAGCUUGCUCCUGAUUGAUAAACAUUUGAGUGAGUGGCGGACGGGUGAGUAACACGUGGGUAACCUGCCCUAAAGUGGGGGAUAACAUUUGGAAACAGAUGCUAAUACCGCAUAAAACCUAAACACCGCAUGGUGUAGGGUUGAAAGAUGGUUUCGGCUAUCACUUUAGGAUGGACCCGCGGUGCAUUAGUUAGUUGGUGAGGUAAAGGCUCACCAAGACCGUGAUGCAUAGCCGACCUGAGAGGGUAAUCGGCCACACUGGGACUGAGACACGGCCCAGACUCCUACGGGAGGCAGCAGUAGGGAAUCUUCCACAAUGGACGAAAGUCUGAUGGAGCAACGCCGCGUGAGUGAAGAAGGUUUUCGGAUCGUAAAACUCUAGUUGUUGGUAGAAGAAUGUAUCUGAUAGUAACUGAUCAGGUAGUGACGGUAUCCAACCAG